CCUACGAGAGGCAGCAGUGAGGAAUAUUGGUCAAUGGUCGCGAGCCUGAACCAGCCAAGUCGCGUGAAGGAUGAAUGCCCUACGGGUUGUAAACUUCUUUUAUAAGGGAAUAAAGUGAGGCACGUGUGCCUGUUUGUAUGUACUUUAUGAAUAAGGAUCGGCUAACUCCGUGCCAGCAGCCGCGGUAAUACGGAGGAUUCGAGCGUUAUCCGGAUUUAUUUGGUUUAAAGGGAGCGUAGAGGGUUUGUUAAGUCAGCUGUGAAAGUUUGAGGCUCAACCGUAAAAUGGCCAUUGAUACUGGCAGUCUUGAGUAGAGUAGAGGUAGGCGGAAUUCGUGGUGGAGCGGUGAAAUGCUGAGAUAUCACGAAGAACUCCGAUUGCGAAGGCAGCUUACUA
rnacentral:rRNA from 1 species